UUAAAUUGAAGAGUUUGAUCAUGGCUCAGAUUGAACGCUGGCGGCAGGCCUAACACAUGCAAGUCGAACGGUAACAGGAAGCAGCUUGCUGCUUUGCUGACGAGUGGCGAACGGGUGAGUAAUGUCUGGGAAACUGCCUGAUGGAGGGGGAUAACUACUGGAAACGGUGGCUAAUACCGCAUAACGUCGCAAGACCAAAGAGGGGGACCUUCGGGCCUCUUGCCAUCAGAUGUGCCCAGAUGGGAUUAGCUUGUUGGUGAGGUAACGGCUCACCAAGGCGACGAUCCCUAGCUGGUCUGAGAGGAUGACCAGCCACACUGGAACUGAGACACGGUCCAGACUCCUACGGGAGGCAGCAGUGGGGAAUAUUGCACAAUGGGCGCAAGCCUGAUGCAGCCAUGCCGCGUGUAUGAAGAAGGCCUUCGGGUUGUAAAGUACUUUCAGCGGGGAGGAAGGUGUUGUGGUUAAUAACCGCAGCAAUUGACGUUACCCGCAGAAGAAGCACCGGCUAACUCCGUGCCAGCAGCCGCGGUAAUACGGAGGGUGCAAGCGUUAAUCGGAAUUACUGGGCGUAAAGCGCACGCAGGCGGUCUGUCAAGUCGGAUGUGAAAUCCCCGGGCUCAACCUGGGAACUGCAUUCGAAACUGGCAGGCUUGAGUCUUGUAGAGGGGGGUAGAAUUCCAGGUGUAGCGGUGAAAUGCGUAGAGAUCUGGAGGAAUACCGGUGGCGAAGGCGGCCCCCUGGACAAAGACUGACGCUCAGGUGCGAAAGCGUGGGGAGCAAACAGGAUUAGAUACCCUGGUAGUCCACGCCGUAAACGAUGUCUACUUGGAGGUUGUGCCCUUGAGGCGUGGCUUCCGGAGCUAACGCGUUAAGUAGACCGCCUGGGGAGUACGGCCGCAAGGUUAAAACUCAAAUGAAUUGACGGGGGCCCGCACAAGCGGUGGAGCAUGUGGUUUAAUUCGAUGCAACGCGAAGAACCUUACCUGGUCUUGACAUCCACAGAACUUUCCAGAGAUGGAUUGGUGCCUUCGGGAACUGUGAGACAGGUGCUGCAUGGCUGUCGUCAGCUCGUGUUGUGAAAUGUUGGGUUAAGUCCCGCAACGAGCGCAACCCUUAUCCUUUGUUGCCAGCGGUCCGGCCGGGAACUCAAAGGAGACUGCCAGUGAUAAACUGGAGGAAGGUGGGGAUGACGUCAAGUCAUCAUGGCCCUUACGACCAGGGCUACACACGUGCUACAAUGGCGCAUACAAAGAGAAGCGACCUCGCGAGAGCAAGCGGACCUCAUAAAGUGCGUCGUAGUCCGGAUUGGAGUCUGCAACUCGACUCCAUGAAGUCGGAAUCGCUAGUAAUCGUGGAUCAGAAUGCCACGGUGAAUACGUUCCCGGGCCUUGUACACACCGCCCGUCACACCAUGGGAGUGGGUUGCAAAAGAAGUAGGUAGCUUAACCUUCGGGAGGGCGCUUACCACUUUGUGAUUCAUGACUGGGGUGAAGUCGUAACAAGGUAACCGUAGGGGAACCUGCGGUUGGAUCACCUCCUUACCU
rnacentral:rRNA from 2 species